rnacentral:tRNA from 1 species
GCCGGAUUAGCUCAGUUUUGGAAGAGCAAUCGCCUUGUAAGCGAUGGGUCAUCGGUUCGAUUCCGUUAUCCGGCUCCA